rnacentral:rRNA from 1 species
GACGAACGCUGGCGGCGUGCUUAACACAUGCAAGUCGAACGGAAAGGCCCCUUUGGGGGUACUCGAGUGGCGAACGGGUGAGUAACACGUGAGUAACCUGCCCUUGACUUCGGGAUAACUUCAGGAAACUGGGGCUAAUACCGGAUAGGAAUCCUUGCUGCAUGGUGGGGGUUGGAAAGCUUCGGCGGUUUUGGAUGGACUCGCGGCUUAUCAGCUUGUUGGUGGGGUAGUGGCUUACCAAGGCUUUGACGGGUAGCCGGCCUGAGAGGGCGACCGGCCACAUUGGGACGGAGGUACGGCCCAGACUCCUACGGGAGGCAGCAGUGGGGAAUAUUGCACAAUGGGCGGAAGCCUGAUGCAGCAACGCCGCGUGCGGGAUGACGGCCUUCGGGUUGUAAACCGCUUUCAGCAGGGGCGAAGCUUGUGGUGACGGUACCUGCAGAAGAAGCACCGGCGAACUACGU